rnacentral:rRNA from 1 species
AUGCCUAACACAUGCAAGUCGAACGAAGGCUUCGGCCUUAGUGGCGCACGGGUGCGUAACGCGUGGGAAUCUGCCCUUGGGUUCGGAAUAACAGUUAGAAAUGACAGCUAAUACCGGAUGAUGUCGUAAGACCAAAGAUUUAUCGCCCAAGGAUGAGCCCGCGUAGGAUUAGCUAGUUGGCGGGGUAAAGGCCCACCAAGGCGACGAUCCUUAGCUGGUCUGAGAGGAUGAUCAGCCACACUGGAACUGAGACACGGCCUAGACUCC